ensembl:lncRNA
GGGGGAUAAAGUGCAAGAGAGCCCGGCGAGAUUCAUUAAUUUAGGGCUGGAGUGCGUGCGAUGGUCAGAGACAGUCGGCCACUCUGGAGACAACCGACGCGUGGUCUUGGAAAGGUCUCGCUCACGCCACGCCGCAAACCCCCAAGCUCGAUGAUGGCCCGAGCUUACCAGAAGACGUUAGACAAGUGCCAAAGAGGCCUGCGUGGAGACUCUGAGGAUGUCUUGUAGACGGGAUGGACCCUAGCCAUGUGGCACAUCCAGACACAUGUACACACACACAUAUAUAUACAUACAAACACACACAGAACGUAUAAUUGUACACACACUUCCAUAUACAAACCCACUGCCAGCUCCUUAAGACAGAACUGAGGAGCUCUGACAACAUCAUAUUGUUUGACCGCCUUACAUAUUUAUUCACUACUUUCUCAAGGCUUUACAUGUAUAUGACUGUCUGGAGCUUGGGUUGUUUAGACGCUUUGGUUGUUUGAAAACAAUAUUUUUAUUUUGGAUGUCUAUGUUGUUGGGUCCCCCCCCAUUUUUUAAAUGAACUCUUUUCAUGCUUGGCCACACAAUUGCCCUUUAGGUUCACAGAACUUUAGUAUAGCUUUCACGACCCUAUUGAACACUGCCACCCCUGUCCUUUCCUCUGUGGUCACCUCCUUUGGAUGGAUGCAGUUUUCAAGUAUGAAAUGUAAGUAGUAAUGUAGCUAGAUAAUAGACUUACUGCCAGAAAAGACUGACAGCAUUAUAUUAUAGGUUUAUCUGCACAACGUUUUUUUCACUAACCACUUCAAAAUGUUCCUUAUUUUUGCUUGUAUUCAACACAUCCAGUUAUUGACUGUCACCGCUGGUCGAAAAAGUAUGUUUCUGUGAUUUUGUUUUUUUCUUUCCCCGCAUCAAACCAUUUCAUAUCUCACAAUCGCGCAUUAGUGAUCUUUAGAGUAUAUGACUGAAUUCUCCAUAUUAUGUGGAAAAGAGAGCCAUGUAUUUAUUGUUUUUGGUGUUUUUCAGUCCCUCCGAUUUCAAAUUCCUCCUAAGGCACUAUAAAGCUGUUCACCUUAUUGUGCGUGAAAUCUGAAAUGUAUCUAGAUGAUCUCCCAAAUAGCUAUCAAGAGUUAACAUACUUAACCAUCAGCAGUCAAACUUUUGAAUGAACUUCUGUCAUUAGCAUGCUAAGCCAUUUGCUUGUCAGAGAUGGAAAGACACGUUAAGGUUUUGAGGACGGUAGCAACCUUUGGUUUUAGUGUGUUCAUAUUUUUCUCAUGUAUUCGUUUUUUCAGAAGCUAUUCUAUGAAAGGCCCUGUUCUGUGUGGUCAGUGCUAAGUGCUCUUCGGUUACAAAAAAAAAUCUGCUAACUGCAGUAUAACCUGCACUGUCUUUCACAGUCAUUUGUCGACAUGUCACAUUAAAACAAAAUGACCAUAUCAAAGGGAAAAAAAGUCAAAUUAAUCUAGGCUAGUUCGGUCAACCUGGAAAAGAAAGCUGUGAGCAUUGUGACCACAGUAAGGAGCCACUUUAGGUGAACUUAUUUGCACCACAUAUUUAUUCCCAUAAUCACCAUAAUCACCUAAAGCCUGCUUGUCCCUUACAUGUCUGACUAGAAAGAAGAUGCGAGAGAGAGAGAUAUCCGCUUUGCCCCAUAAGGAAAGCGUAGCCAUUAUAUUCAGGCUCUAUGCAGAUAUUAUGGUGGCUGUCUUGGUAAGGGAAAGCUUGCCCUAGCCUGCACCACUGCUUAUGGCAUGAGUAACCGCUUGUCAUAAUAUUACCCUAGCCCUGCCGGCGUGAAUGUGUGCAGCAAAUCAACCCCUCCCCGAGAUCGGAACAGAAGCUCUGGAGAAUAGCGACCCACCGUGCUUGACUUAUGGCUGAGUAGAUGAAGUUGCCGUUUAAACAUUCUGCCAAACGAGGUGCGAGAUGAACCGGUUCGCCGCGCUUCUCGUCUUUGAAGCCUUGGAGGCCAAGUUUAAUCAAUUCGAUCUAUCUGUUAAUUCUAUUCAUACAGUUCAAGGUGCAUGAGAGUCACCUGGGAGAAGUGGGCAUAUUCAAGAAAGGCAAUGAGUCCUGUAAUGUAUAUGUAAGACGAGGUCGUGAAGUUAGAGAAGCUUCGUCCUGAGGGGCACAGCUUUUCUAUGCCCAGUGCAGUACUUUUGACCAGAACCAUGUGUGACCAGGUGAAAAGUAGCGUACUAUAUAUGGAUAUAUAGGAUAUAUAUAUAUAUAUAUAUAUAGGGAUUAUGUUUCCAUUUGGGAUACGGUCUGAAACACUGAAAGGGCACCAUCUUCACAAAGGAGUGGAUUAACCACAGAUCUGGCUUCUUGCAACACAUCACAUACACAAGAGAUCCAGCACUGCCAAAGGCGCUCUUUUUUUUCCUUUUCUUUUUUGAAUUAAAAACUGCCCCUUGUGCUCAAUUCUACCAUCACACAGGAUGCAAACUACUGUUUCCUUAACACUCCUUUUCUUGAACACCCACCCAUGCAACACUAUGUACGAUGUCCAUACCCAAGGCAUUUGAUUUGUAACGUACCCCAGCUACACAACAUACUCUGUGAAAUUCUGGGAUGAGAGGAAUGCUCCUGACUCCUCUUUUGGGUUUAUUCAAUUUAGUUUCUUUGUAUAAUUACACUGAUAAAUUGUUGUUUUAUCCUCCUUUAAUCAAAUGUAUUUUUUUGACAUGUGCCAAGUUUGUAUUCAAAACAUGAAGAACUGUUACAGAAAGGUGACUGGAUACUCAGUUUAGAUGUUUUGUUUUUGUAUUCAUCAAAGGGAUAGAUAUCUCUCCUAGUGAAGUGACAUCAUAGCUAAGUUUAUACAGAAUGAAAUUUAGAUUUUUACCCUGGUAGCAAACUCUAAAAAGAAGUUAAAUCAUCUCUUAAAUAGUUCAUUGACCCAUUGAAAAUAGCGAAUUGUGACAUGAUUACACCUAAUAGAAAAUAAUUUCCAUGCAAAUAUCAUCUAAUAACAUUUCAAAAUGCAUACAUAAGAUUUUGAUUUUGUAUUAAAUGUUAAAGUGAAUAUGAACCUACAUUUUUAUUUCAUGGUGUCUGAAGCUACCUCCCCCAAUGUCUGAUUGUUGUAUUUUCCCCCAUAGGCUUGGCCCCAAUAAUCUUGUGUGGUAUAGAUAAUACGUGGCAGUUGGCAAAAACUAUUUUCAGUGGACUAACACAGUGGAGUAUCUUUGAUUGGGCCGAGCCAUCUCAACCUCACCACUCCUUGCCACUAAAGACAGUAUUCCUUCUUGAGAUCUGCUCUACGUUGUCCAUAUCAGGACAACAUUGUUGCUAUUUUUUUUCACCCAAAUCUCCUGUUGAUUAUUUCCAUGAAGGCCAGAACUUUGCGUCAAACGAUCUCAAGUCAGAGGCCUCUGAUAUGGAAAACCAAGCAUAAGAGUUACAUUGGUCAAUAGAGGCAGGAAAUAGGUUAAACUAUUAGGUGCCACUGAUUUGGAGUCAGUUGGUUUCUAACUGGUUCAGGGAGAGAGAUGCAGUUUGGAAACCACAUUCACAUUGACGGUGCACCAACUAUUCUUUUUUGAGCAACAGGAAUGUGUUGAUCUCAAGUUGAUGCUUGCUGCAUUUUUCAGAAACCGAGAGAACUACUUGCAAAUGUCCUUUUAAGCAAAUUGUUUAUUACUGCUACAUUUACAAGUACUGUAUCUCACACAUUCUUUGUGUACUAUAAUUUGCCAAUGAAAAAACAUGAAUGAAGUGAAAAUAAAUAACAAUGUUAACAUGAUGUAUGCUGCCAUAUCCCUGCCUACCCUCUGAUUUGAUCACAUUGACUAUUUUAUUUUAAGUUUAUUAGUAUCCAUAAGAUGAAAAAAAGGAUGUACACUGUUCCUACAUUGAGUAUGUAAUGGAAUAUCAUACUAAUAAUAACCAAUUUAUUAUAUGAACUGACUGUCUUCUUUCUCAUUGACUUCAUUUUGAACAAAUACUAACAGUUUUUCAAACUAUAUCUAUUUUACCCAAUCUAAUCACAUACUAUUACUAGUCAGCUUGGUAACACUUAAGACCCCCCCCCCCACCCCCCCCCCCGCCCGGUAACAUUUAGCUGACAUGUAUAAUGAUAUGUUGUGUCAAUU